AAUACUCAGGAUUUCUAGUAUCUGGGUGCACAGCAGAAGAGGCAUCCAUGACUUCAGAUGUCUCUUCCAGGUUAUUUUUCAAAGGCCUUGAUGCAAAUGGCCCAGAAAAGGCAGAACUAAUGCCAGAUCCAAAACUACCAAAGCUCAAGUGUGAACAGUCUUGUGCAUGAACUUGCAGGUGAUUUGGAAUUAUUACAGAAGGAUUA
rnacentral:misc_RNA from 1 species